UACGGAGGGUGCAAGCGUUAUCCGGAUUCACUGGGUUUAAAGGGCGCGUAGGCGGUUCUUCAAGUCUCUCGUGAAAUCCCUCGGCUUAACUGAGGACGUGCGGGAGAUAGCUGAAGGCGUUGAGUCCGGAAGAGGGUGGUGGAAUUCCCAGUGUAGCGGUGAAAUGCGUAGAUAGUUGGGAGGAACACCGGUGGCGAAGGCGGCCACCUGGGCCGGAACUGGACGCUGAGGCGCGAAAGCGUGGGAGCAACGGG
rnacentral:rRNA from 1 species